rnacentral:rRNA from 1 species
UACGGGGGGGGCAAGCGUUGUUCGGAAUUACUGGGCGUAAAGGGUCCGUAGGUGGCCAACUAAGUCAGACGUGAAAUCCCUCAGCUUAACUGGGGAACUGCGUCUGAGACUGGAUGGCUCGAGUGCAGGAGAGGAAUGCGGAAUUCCAGGUGUAGCGGUGAAAUGCGUAGAUAUCUGGAGGAAUACCGGUGGCGAAGGCGGCAUCCUGGACCAUUACUGACGCUGAAUCGCGAAAGCUAGGGGAGCAAACGGG